CCAAAUUCAAUUAAGUAAUACUCCUAAAAAUAUACAUGAUUGGCAUCUUACAUCAUAUAUACUAAUUCUAUUUACAUCCUUGGUUUCAUGAAAGGGAGUUGUUAGUGAUACUGUAAAAAAGUUAUUGCAUUGUCAGCUGAAUACGUAUUUAAAACAAAGCAAAGUGAAAAGACACGGUUUAAUAUUCCAAUGAAUUAAAAAAAAUCAGAAAUGUGAGUUCUAAUUGAAUUCAUUCACAAACAAUUACUAAAUUAAUUUGAAAAUUAAAAUGGGUGUAUCCACAAACCGACGAUCCUAAAUCACCUGCUUAAUUAUGUGAGCCACAUUGUUUGAUAUCUGUAUUGUUAUUCGGCUUGACACAUCUGAGCAGGGGACUCCAUGAAAGCUACAAUGUCCAUAAAAUGUAAUUAUUCCUAAUUAUAAGCAGUGAAUCAAACAUACAUAAAAUGGUACGAUCUAGUUUUAUUCCUUUCCACAAAGCUCUUAGGUUCGACUCUUAUGAAAUGCUGACUUCGAUACAAAUUAUUAAUGACAGAAAUACUCCAGCAUCUUUUGCGUUCAAGUACUACUACUUAAAGAUGUUAACACACCCAUAAGCUGACUAAUUCUAACGGUUGUGAUUUUCACACACCCUUAACUACUUUUCCCACACCCCUUCCUAUUUUUUAAUAGUUAAUUGAUAUCCUACUAUUUAAUCUUCCAUAUAUACCCUUCUUACUUUUUUAUGGUAAUUAAUGAAAGACUAAAUAGGAAGGGGUAUAUAUGGAAGAUUGAAUAGUAGGAUACUAAUUAAGUACUUAAAAAAUAGGGAGGGGUGUGGGAAAAGUAGUUAAGGAUGUGUGAAAAUCACAACUACUAUAUACUUAUAUGAAGAAGAACCAACAGAGUGAGUAAAAACAAAUUCUUAGCAAAAGAAUUAGCUAAUUCAAUUAACAACUACUAAUCAAACUGCAAAUGCAACAUAUGAGUUUUUCUGGCUUCGAAGUUCAAACAUAGAACCAACAGAGUCAAAGGUCUUCAUAUGCAUUAUGAGAAAAAACUCAUUACGGUAUCAGAAAUCAUAACUUAAAGCUAAACCAAAAAAAGUAAAGAGACACAAUUGAUGUCCUUUAUGUCCAUCUAAGAGAUGGGCAAGUAAAUUUUGUGAAGAAAGACCUGCUGGUUUGUCCAACCUGAGAAGAUAAUAAGUUCAUUGAAGAUUCAUUGCUGGAGUGGUUGAUUUAUUUAAGUGAUUUCUAUUUUGUUGAGAAAAUGAUACCGCCAUAAAAAGAAAAAAAAAAACAAGAAAUACAUAACAGUGCAAUCAAAUCAUUUUUUUAUGUCCUAUACAGUCGGGUAGAAGGUGCCCAAAUCAAAACAAAAUGGGUAUCUGCAGACUUGCUUGCUCUAAGGACACAACGAUUUCCUACUUUAGUAGAAUCACAUCCAACUCUAUCAAUCACUUCUGAAAUAGUAAAAGACCAUGAAAUUGUGCAGUCACUAAAGACCUAAAUACUGAAAUCACAAAAGAAAAACAACUCAAUUCAUAAAUUAAUGAAUGAAAGGAGUAUAAAGUUCAAUCAUAAACUAAGAAGAGUGAGAAAACAUUUAGAAAGUUUUCUCAUAAGAAAAUUUGUAUUAAUAGGAAAACUAAUUAAAAGGGCUUGAAAACUUUGAGUUUUAAUGAUAAGGACAAAAUAAAAGGUAAAGUGAAUAGUAUCAGGAUUGAUUUUUUAGUGUAAAAAUGUGGUUUUUCGUUAAAGUGAACAGUACCGAGUGCUUUUCGUUAAAGUUCCCAUAUAAUUUAGUCCUUCUCGGGCUUAAAAGUACCAUGUAUGACACACAUUAAUGUAAUCAACUGCUCAGAUAAUUUAGGAGGCGAAAACCAAAGCCAAAUUUUGUUCAUUUCAUGCCUUGAAAGCAGACUCUUCAGUCUAUACAGUCCAAAAGGAUAUAAUACUACCUGAGGACCAUCAGAUCACUUGAAAGUGUAUCCCAAGUGUGAAGGCUGUAAGCAAAAUUGAACUCCUAGGUUAAGAGGAGGGUGAUCCACUUAAAUGCAUAAAAUUGGGGAUUGACCUGUCAUUUAAAAUAGGAGCCCGGUCAGUCCUGUAUAAAGAAUUCUAGUGACCUAAAUAUGAUAUUCUCGAAUAACCAUGAAAACCUUAACGUGGUGAAUAUUUAAGCAGCAUUUUACUAUUUAUAAGGCUGUCAACAGGUGACACAUAAUAAUUCUAUCAGCCGUCUUGGAAAAAUUAUUAUUUUUUAUCAAAUCUCUAAGGAGAUUAGUAAUAAGAAAGUGAUAGGCAGUCACUGGAUAAGCUUGAACCUGGAACAACCUAGCUAAAUAGUAUCCGAGGCCAUUCCAUGCCAUACUAAUGGCAUACUAAUGCAUACAUUCCUCUUCAAUUACAUUUACAUAAAUGUGUUACUGCAUACCAUGUCAUGUUUUAUAUAAAUAUAAUCCUCCAAUUUGACACAGUUGGUCACCAAAAAAAUAUAUGGAGAAUCAAAUUGAAAAAUCCAACAUAACCCAAAUUUACAUUAACAGACAAACAGAUGCUAUAGUAAAGAAAAAGAGAGCCAAGAACAGAAUUUUACUUUAUCUAUGCCGAUGACUGUAUGAGAACGAAACAAAGACCAAUUGGAAUGCAAAAAAUAAUGAAGUGAAAUAAGCAUAUGGAAGUGUUAUUUAUGAUGAAGUGAAAUUAACCACUAUGGUUUAUUUGACAUAUGGAUAAUUUCGUCUAAGAAAGAGAAAUAAGUAUAUGGAAGCGUUAUAUAUAUAUAUAUAUAUAUAUAUAUAUAUAUAUAUAUAUAUUGUGUAUUGGGAUUUGAGAAAGACAAUAAUGUAAUUAUCAUUACCUAUUGGUUUUGAAUUUGGGUGUUCGGAAGACUUAAUAUUUGGUUUAGUUUGUGUAGCUUUUUUUUGGGUAUCUUUAUUUUCUUCUAAUCAUGCAAUUUCAUAUUGUAUGUUUGAAUGCUUUUGUUUCAGAAGACCUGACAAAAAUGAGAAAAGAGAAUGGAGACCUGAUGGCAUGUUGUUGGUUGAAAACUAUAUGAGAAUACAGAAAGGCCAAACCUUUGGGGUUAUUUUAAGUUAAAAAACUAUUGAUGCAACAAAUACACUUAAUGCACACUCCCAAAUGCAGUCUUCGUGUUCCCAUCGCAACACUAUGCAUCUAAAUCCUAUACUCACUUCAUAAAGGUUAUGAAAACCCCAUCAAUUUAGGGAAUAUAAUUGUAAUAUGUAGACCUGACAUUUUGAACCUGACCCGACCCGAUCCGUUAAUAUUAGUAUUUGGGUGGAUGCUUAACAGGUCAGGUCGCUAAUGGGUGAACCCGUUAACAACCCAUUAAAUAACGGGUCACUUUGGGUCAACCCGUUAGCACCCGAUAGUUGAGGAUGUUUUAGUAAUUUCAGUAAAGUCUUAACAACAAAAAAUAAACUCUAUGCAAAAAAUAAUAAUAAUAAUAAUAAUUGUUAAUGGGUGGAACGGGUGACCCGUUAACUUAACGGGUCGGGUUCAGGUGAUCCGUUAGCUUAACGGGUUGAGUUCGGAUGACCCGUUAGCUUAACGGGUCGGAUUCAACCCGACCCAAACCCAAUAAACCUGACCCGUUUACAGGUCUAGCAAUAUGCAUAAUUAGUUGAUAUCAACCACGCAUAUCUCACACAACUAAGAAUGCAGGGCCAAAAUAAAACACCCCAACCCUCUUUUAUAUUUUAAAAUUGUUUUAAAGCCUUAAUUGGUGAGCCCGUGGAGCCCACCUUGUUUAUUUUUUUUAUGUUUUCUGAUCUCUCUCUUCCUUCUUCUUCGUCUUUCUCCCCCGUAACUCUCCCUUAGCUCUCUCCUUGUCAGCUCUCCCGUCUCUCUCUCCCUCAACCUCUCGCAUCUCUCUCUUCCCCUGGACUCACUAGGACCGAGUCACCAUCGAAGAGAGGCUCGCAACGAACCCCGGACCCUGCCCUGCGAGUUCGACGGCACGGAGUAAGCUCCGGCGAGCACCGCCCCUUUCGAGGCCAUUUCCGGCCAAACCACGGCGAGUUGGCCGGCGUGUAAGGUAUCAAUCUCUUCGUCUCCUUGAGUACUACAACUUUCCUUUUUGUUUCACUCAAUUUCGUUGAAUAUUGAAGAAGUUAUACUCAUUUGAAUCUUACCCAGUUUCCGGCGAGUCCGACGGCUUUCGAGGCAUUUUCCGGCCAAACCACGGCGAGUUAGACGUCGUGUGAGGUACCAUUCUCUUCGUCUCUUCAAGGGCUACAACUUUCAUUGUUGUCUUGCUUGAUUUCGUUGAGUAUUGACAAAGUUAUGGCCAUUUAAAGUUGGGUGGUUUUCCGGCCGAAAUUCCGGCCUUCUCCUUCAACAAACCCAGGCCAUCCGGCCUUUCCCUCUCCCUCGGGCCUUAGGCCCGUGUUGCCUUAGCCCAGUACCCUAACCCAUUCAGUUUUUAUUUUUAGUUAUAUGUUUUUAAAACCCAAAGGGCUCGGGCCCUAGUUUUGGUUGGCCUUGGGCCGGUUUUCAACCAAGGGCUUAAAGCCCUGAUUUCUGUUAGGAGGCCUUAGGGCCUUGUGUAGUGUGUGUGUGUGUGUGUAUGUUUAUAGUAUAUGUAUGUGUUUGGGCUUAAACCCAAACCCCUUUCCUAACCCUAAACCAUUUUAACCCAAAACCUUAGAAAUCCAAACCACCCAUUUUCACCAUAAACCCUUUUAACCUUAGAACCCUAAAAUCAAAACCCAAUAAAUCCUAAUCCUAUUUAACCUAAACCCUAAUCCGGAUUUCAAGCCUAAAACCCGUUAGACCUAAUUUGACCGUUGACAUCCGGUCAACAUUGACUUUAGAGUUGACUUUUCGGGUUUUCGUCCGGGACCCUUCUUAGGGUAAUUCGACGUUCUGAAUCCGUUUCCAACGUCCGUUUUCCCAAAUUCAAUUUCUAUUAUAUAGUUUUAUUAAUUGGACCCUUUAUGUGCUUAGGGGCAAUUAUUGUGACGUUUUCGUCUUCGCUAGUGGCGCAGCUUUUGACAGCGAAGUACUGUGAGUGGACCCAGGGGCGGAUCCACAGUGGGGUCGUCGGGGUCGCACGACCCCUUGGAAACCAUGGAAACAACCUUGAAGCUCCCAUAUGCGACCUCUUGGAGCUGGGGUCGUCAGGGUCGUCGUCAGGAAGAGGAAGAAGAAGACUCGGCAGCGGCAGGAAGAGGAAGAAGAAGCAGCAAGAGCUUGUGACAAUAAACACAACUAGUUGAAGUUGAUGAGCAACAAGAGCUACUGCAACGGUUGUGUUUAUUGUCAUUUUCUUUUUUCUUUUUAUUCCAGGUUGUCAGCCUGCUCUUUGCAUGGUCUUGGCUCUUGGUAGGAGUUUUGAUCACAAAUCAAGAGAUGAGUCGGACAACAAAUGAGAGUGAAGAUGGAGUGCUGUCCAAGGAUCAGAUUGAUUCUCCGUUGAUGGAUGAGAGUAAUGGAGGAAGUGGAAAUGGUGGAAUGGUUCUAAAGAAAGGGACAUGGACCUCGGCUGAAGAUGCAAUUUUGGUGGAGUAUGUUAAGAAGCAUGGGGAGGGAAACUGGAAUGCCGUUCAGAAGCACUCAGGCCUGUUCCGUUGUGGCAAAAGCUGCCGGUUGCGAUGGGCAAAUCACCUAAGGCCGAACCUGAAGAAAGGGGCAUUGACUCUUGAAGAAGAACGUCUCAUUGUUGAACUCCAUGCCAAGAUGGGGAACAAAUGGGCACGCAUGGCUGCACACGUAGUGAUUUCUAUUCGUUAUGUGUGUUCCAGUAGUGAUUUCUCUCAAUUGGAAGGGAUUGAUGAUCUUGCAAAAAAAAUGGUGGAGACAAGGAUGCAUCAAGUAUUCAAUUAUGUAUAUUUGCUCAUUACAUUGUCUUUAGUUUUACCAGUUGCAACUGCUUCAGUGGAGAGAGCAUUUUCUGUCAUGAAUAUUGUUAAGGGUCCACUUAGGAACAAAAUGGGAGAUCAAUGGUUGAGUGAUAGCUUGCUUGUUUAUAUUGAGAGAGAUAUUUUUGCUUGUAUUGAAAAUGAAGCUAUAAUACUUCGUUUUCAAAAUAUGAAAUCUCGUCGUGGACAAUUAUAGUUUGUAAUAUUGUUUCCGUUAUGAAUUAUGAAUGAAAGUACUAUGAUUUCAUUGCCAAUAUGUUUUUCCAUCCUAAAUUUUUAUUUGAACUUUUACACUGCGACCCCUUGGGGUAAGAUUCCUGGAUCCGCCACUGAGUGGACCCCUUCUAAAAUUACAUGAUUUGAUAAUUUAAUUGCAUAAAUGAUUAGCAUGCCUACGGAUUUAUGAUUUGAUUUAUGUGAAGCCUGAUGAUUUAAUAUAUUGAUUAUCGUCUCGUGUUUUUGGUGAGGAAUUAAUUGUUGGCCUAUAUUGAGCUAUAUUUUAAUAUAUCGUAUUUUCUAUAAAAAUCAUGAACUGGUAGACUAUCUGAUUGAUGAUGAUAGGAUGCUAGAACAUGAUUUUGAACCCUCUUUAUAGCGUAGACGAUAAUCGGUAACCUAUGCUACGAAGUGGUAUUUAUGAGAGGCGUAAAUAUUUGUGCGUACCUAGUAGACACUAUGCAUGCCGCCUGGGGCGAGGAUCUGGUGUUGGCAUGUAGGCCGGGAGAAAUAAUCCCUAGCGAAAGGCUGAGGGACACGGAGACUGGCAUUGGGCCCGGGAGGGAGUUAUCUCUGGCUACGGGCACAGAGACUGAGGUGCGGGCAUUGGGCCGGGAGUUAUAUUUAUUCGGUGAUCUUACUAGCAGCACACCGCGUUUACGAGACGAUUUUACGAGAUGUUUUACGCGAUGAUUUAUAUGAUGUUUUCCGCGUUAUGGCUUUUGAGAUAUUUUUUGGCAUGCUAGGAUUUUUAUUAAAUCCAUCACUUAUUAUGCUAGUAGUUUUCAUUUAUAUAAACUUUGGGGGUUAGUAUCUUGAUAACUGUUUUAUUAUUAUUGUAUAUAAACUUGGUCCACUCACCUUUGUUUUGCGCCCCCAUUCAGGACUUAGAAUCAAGGCACCUAAUCCCGACGUGAAGACACUUCCGCAGCAGCAUCUUCGGAUCCUCUCGAUGUAGGACCCACUUCUUUAUUCAUUCAAUUUUAUCUCAAUUCUUUUUAGUGAUUAGGUUUAGUUGUAUGUUCUGAACACGUUCUUAAAAUUAUUAACUCUUAUUUAUUUCUUAUUCUUAGUUUUUGUAUCAAUUAAUGGCUUUCGUCACCCUCGGGUGUCGGCCAGCACGUGUCUAUCCUGGUAUUCGGGGAAUAUCAGGGUCGGGGCGUGUCAGAUUGGAACAUGUUCUUAAAAUUAUUAACUCUUAUUUAUUUCUUAUUCUUAGUUUUUGUAUCAAUUAAUGGCUUUCGUCACCCUCGGGUGUCGGCCAGCACGUGACCAUCCUGAUAUCCCGAAGAUAUCGGGAUCGGGACGUGUCAGAUUGGUAUCAGAGCGUGGUUUGUUCAGAGCAUACUUAGGAUUCUUUUCUAUUCUCUUAAAGUGUUGGUUUUGACAUCAUUUGGAUGUCACGACUUCCGGAUUUUGUGCCAGUCGGCGCAGUUGUGUGAAUCUCUCUCUGAUUGAAUUAUCACCUUUUAGUUGAAAUACAAGAAUUCGUGUCGGGAUUGUGCCUCAACAGUGAUGAAGUGGAUUGUUGGAUGACUUUCGACCUCGGAUCGAUACUCAGACGAUGUGUUUUAGAAAUCUCAAUUUGAAGAAUUCUGGUUAAGACCAGCUGUAGAUUCGAAAUGGCGAUGCCACUCUGCAACAUGCGUUCCCUAGGAAUUGCGGGCGGAGUCGGCUCUACAUCGAAAUCUUGAGAAACUCCUCGGCAGCAGACGCUAUUCUCAUCAAUUUCCAAAAUGAGUUGCAAUUCUUAUUGUUGUUAUAGUUGGACUUGGAUGAUGAAUAUCCAUUCUUGUUUGGAUAAACAGAUUCCUUGAAUUUCACCUGGGUUUGGUACUUGGUGGCAAACUCUAGUUCCUCGUCCGCGUACUUUUCGGGGAAGGUGAACUUAGUCUCUUGCUUACAACCUAAAUGUUCAGCCUUGUAAUUUUCAGUGUAAUGGCUUGAGACUCUAUCAUAUUCAUCAUUGUACGAAGAUCGAACUUUACUCUAAACUUCCCUGGACUCAUUGAGCUUUGGUUUGCUCAAAAGCAUCACUUUAAGGUAGCCAAUUGUGUCACUGCAUGCAUACGCAGGCUGCUUUGUAGCUUUCUUCUUCGUCAUUCUGCUGAUUCAGAGGUUCUAUGUUUAAUUUUUGAACUUUGAAACAGCUCUCACAAAGUAUUGUGAAUCCCGAAAUUUCUUUAGCCUCGUCAAAUUUUAUUAUCAGUCCUUAACUAUUAUUGAGCUUAGUCUUAUUUCCUUUUGACUAAGAAAUCAGUUGACCAUACUGUGAUGAUUUGCAAAAUAAUCAGAAACAGUGACUCUAUUUCUGCAUCUUUACCACCUUCUCGACAUGGCUUCUCGCCUAAUCAGUGAGAAAUCCACGAUCGAUCGUUUCGGUGAAAGUGGGCACCCAGUUCGUGUUGUUUUGGACAAGAAUGUUGGGAGCAUAAUCUUUUCACAAGCUUACCAAACUUAUCAUAAAGAGUUCAUUAUGGGUGUGAAGUUUGAGUUGUCCUUUGGUAGGAGACUGGUGAAGAUUUUGGUGCAGAAGGUCAGCAUAUUGUAUCACCAUCUCACUAGAAUUCAUAGGCAUCACAUCGGUUAUUUUCUAACGAUAUGUGUUCGUCUCAACGCAUAUUUCCACUGCUUCACUUCCGAACCUUAUUGUUGUGAGUACGUGGUUGUUAAAACACUUCUAGCAGAUUUGUUUGGUGCAUUCUGAGAUGGCACUACAGGACGGUCGAAGUGAGAAUUGGAUAAUCUUUACACUUCUCUGGAAAGGUGUGUACUCUCUUUUGUUUUUAGGUUGACCAUUUGCGAGUCGUUCUUCUUUCCACCAACUUUGGCCUUGUUUGACUUGAAAUCUGCAACUAAGCAAAAAUGGAGAGGUGGAUUGAGCACUACAACAGUUCCCAAGAGAUACUGCGUGUUGAGGAAGAUGACUUCUCAUUUUCUGCUUGCUUGGUUCGAGCUUUUGGGUCUACUACUAACAUGGUAGCCACUUCUCUUGAAUCCUAAGGUACAGUUUUCAAAUUGGUUCGUUGUUGGCAAAACACUGGAGUAGUUGGUCACAUUUGGAAGAACUGAGGAGGAUAGGAUGCUUGGUGCUGGAUAGAGUUUUACGACGACAGUUUCUGUUUUGUUCGGUUUUGUGUAUGGCACUUUUUACGACCUGGUACGAUAGUUUUUCAUGGACAACACUGGUUGACUGAAAAGUCUUGCGAACUUGUAUUUGGAGCAUCGAUCCUACGAUAUGUGAAAUUGUACACCAUUUGAGAAAUUACUACUUGCCUAUCGAGACAACAAAUGUGAGGUCGAUAUUGCGGGCUGCAGACUGUGAUAUCGAUAGCUUAUUUGGUGGGUUCGUUAAGCAAGUGGGCAAGAAGAUUCGUCUACAGCAGCUGAUGCAGAUUCAGAAUUUGUAUUUCUUGGGACUCGACCUAAAGGCACAUCUAUUCUCGGAAUAUAUGACAUUUCGAAUUCUUGGGCGAGACCCACUCUCAUUUUUCAGUUUUGGUUUUCAGUGUAAGUAUUUUAACUUCAUUUACUCUAGUUAAUUAUUUUGACGUUACAAAUGUUUUUGGAAAAGUAUUUCUGUUUUCAUUUUUAAGUUGAUUCGAGUUUUUGAACUAUAUGUCAGUACAUAUCUAUUUUGACGUUAUCUGGCCUUAAGCUAUUUUGUGUUUUCAACUUUAUAUUUUAUUAAAGUAUGUGUUCUAUUUUUACACUGAUGAAAAAAAAAAAAAAAAAAAAAAAGUUUGAGCCUGGAGGCACGAAAGAUGGAAUCAUUGCAGCCGAUCGCGACGGCGUGGCAUUUUCCCUUUUGUGAAACCGCUCUUACCUGAUCUCUUCGUUACAUAUAUAUAUAUUAUUCUUCUUCCUAUUUUCAAGUAUUUUCGGUGUAGUAUGUUGUUUUAAAUUUCGAGGACGAAAUUUUUUUAUAAGGGUGGUAGAUUAAAACACCCCAACCCUCUUUUAUAUUUUAAAAUUGUUUUAAAGCCUUAAUUGGUGAGCCCGUGGAGCCCACCUUGUUUAUUUUUUUAUGUUUUCUGAUCUCUCUCUUCCUUCUUCUUCGUCUCUCUCCCCCGUAACUCUCCCUUAGCUCUCUCCUUCUCAGCUCUCCCGUCUCUCUCUCCCUCAACCUCUCGCAUCUCUCUCUUCCCCUGGACUCACUAGGACCGAGUCACCAUCGAAGAGAGGCUCGCAACGAACCCCGGACCCUGCCCUGCGAGUUCGACGGCACGGAGUAAGCUUCGGCAAGCACCGCCCCUUUCGAGGCCAUUUCCGGCCAAACCACGGCGAGUUGGUCGGCGUGUAAGGUAUCAAUCUCUUCGUCUCCUUGAGUACUACAACUUUCCUUUUUGUUUCACUCAAUUUCGUUGAAUAUUGAAGAAGUUAUACUCAUUUGAAUCUUACCCAGUUUCCGGCGAGUCCGACGGCUUUCGAGGCAUUUUCCGGCCAAACCACGGCGAGUUAGACGUCGUGUGAGGUACCAUUCUCUUCGUCUCUUCAAGGGCUACAACUUUCAUUUUUGUCUUGCUUGAUUUCGUUGAGUAUUGACAAAGUUAUGGCCAUUUAAAGUUGGGUGGUUUUCCGGCCGAAAUUCCGGCCUUCUCCUUCGACAAACCCAGGCCAUCCGGCCUUUCCCUCUCCCUCGGGCCUUAGGCCCGUGUUGCCUUAGCCCAGUACCCUAACCCAUUCAGUUUUUAUUUUUAGUUAUAUGUUUUUAAAACCCAAAGGGCUCGGGCCCUAGUUUUGGUUGGCCUUGGGCCGGUUUUCAACCAAGGGCUUAAAGCCCUGAUUUCUGUUAGGAGGCCUUAGGACCUUGUGUAGUGUGUGUGUGUGUAUGUUUAUAGUAUAUGUAUGUGUUUGGGCUUAAACCCAAACCCCUUUCCUAACCCUAAACCAUUUUAACCCAAAACCUUAGAAAUCCAAACCACCCAUUUUCACCAUAAACCCUUUUAACCUUAGAACCCUAAAAUCAAAACCCAAUAAAUCCUAAUCCUAUUUAACCUAAACCCUAAUCCGGAUUUCAAGCCUAAAACCCGUUAGACCUAAUUUGACCGUUGACAUCCGGUCAACAUUGACUUUAGAGUUGACUUUUCGGGUUUUCGUCCGGGACCCUUCUUAAGGUAAUUCGACGUUCUGAAUCCGUUUCCAACGUCCGUUUUCCCAAAUUCAAUUGCUAUUAUAUAGUUUUAUUAAUUGGACCCUUUAUGUGCUUAGGGGCAAUUAUUGUGACGUUUUCGUCUUCGCUAGUGGCGCAGCUUUUGACGGCGAAGUACUGUGAGUGGACCCCUUCUAAAAUUACAUGAUUUGAUAAUUUAAUUGCAUAAAUGAUUAGCAUGCCUACGAAUUUAUGAUUUGAUUUAUGUGAAGCCUGAUGAUUUAAUAUAUUGAUUAUCGUCUCGUGUUUUUGGUGAGGAAUUAAUUGUUGGCCUAUAUUGAGCUAUAUUUUAAUAUAUCGUAUUUUCUAUAAAAACCAUGAACUGGUAGACUAUCUGAUUGAUGAUGAUAGGAUGCUAGAACAUGAUUUUGAACCCUCUUUAUAGCGUAGAUCGGUAACCUAUGCUACGAAGUGGUAUUUAUGAGAGGCGUAAAUAUUUGUGCGUACCUAGUAGACACUAUGCCGCCUGGGGCGAGGAUCUGGUGUUGGCAUGUAGGCCGGGAGAAAUAAUCCCUAGCGAAAGGCUGAGGGACACGGAGACUGGCAUUGGGCCGGGAGGGAGUUAUCUCUGGCUACGGGCACAGAGACUGAGGUGCGGGCAUUGGGCCCGGAGUUAUAUUUAUUCGGUGAUCUUACUAGCAGCACACCGCGUUUACGAGACGAUUUACGAGAUGUUUUACGCGAUGAUUUAUAUGAUGUUUUCCGCGUUAUGGCUUUUGAGAUAUUUUUGGCAUGCUAGGAUUUUUAUUAAAUCCAUCACUUAUUAUGCUAGUAGUUUUCAUUUAUAUAAACUUUGGGGGUUAGUAUCUUGAUAACUGUUUUAUUAUUAUUGUAUAUAAACUUGGUCCACUCACCUUUGUUUUGCGCCCCCAUUCAGGACUUAGAAUCAAGGCACCUAAUCCCGACGUGAAGACACUUCCGCAGCAGCAUCUUCGGAUCCUCUCGAUGUAGGACCCACUUCUUUAUUCAUUCAAUUUUAUCUCAAUUCUUUUUAGUGAUUAGGUUUAGUUGUAUGUUCUGAACAUGUUCUUAAAAUUAUUAACUCUUAUUUAUUUCUUAUUCUUAGUUUUUGUAUCAAUUAAUGGCUUUCGUCACCCUCGGGUGUCGGCCAGCACGUGUCUAUCCUGGUAUUCGGGGAAUAUCAGGGUUGGGGCGUGUCACAAAACCAGAGUAUACUUACCUAGGUGUUAUUUCCUAUUUGCAUUUUGAUAAGUCUCAUGUUUUAACAAUCAUCCAUCAUCCCACUCAUGGCAUAAUUGUUUGUGGGAUGACACAACUCAUGACACAACUGGAGUCUAAUUCUACAGAACCCAUGACCCUAAACAAUCCAAAAUUAAUAGAUUACAGUGACAACAUUCCAACAAAAGAAAGAAGACCAAAAAAAUUAUCUACUCUAAAGUAAUUUAGUUCCAUCAUGCAUAAAUCAAGGCAGUCACAUGAGGCUAGUAUCUAUGGUAAUCCAACACAUUAACAUAAAGCAUCCAAAUACACACUCAGAGUUACAAAACGCAUGAAAAUUCACAUUCCAACGUGUUAUUCAAUCACCAAUUUCAAAUCCACCAAAACCAAUUAAAUUUAUGUCAGUACGCAUCAAAACCAAACCCAAAAUCAAAAGAAGGUGAUCAAUUGUUUGAUUUUGCUAAAUAUUACAAAAUAAAAUAAAUAAAAUAUGUACAAAUCAGCAUGCAUACCUUGUAGCAGUUCAGGGAACAGUAGCGUGAGUUGCAUCGAGGGCAUGUGUACUGGGGAAAUUGCUUCUGGCAGCUGCAAUUAACAAAAACAAAACGAAAAAUUGGAAUAAAAUCAAAAUCGGAAAAUUUUCCAGAAAAAAAGUAAAACAAAUUAUCAAGCUUUGUUGAUGAAAGAGAAGUGGGGUUGGAGAAGAACAUGCACGCAACUAUGAGCAGUAGCCAAAAGAUUUCAAAAUGAUUUCUUGGCUUUUCAAUCAGGACACGGAUGCAUAUAAAAAUGGCAGAGAGAAUUAAAACCAAACCAAACAGUAGAAAAUGAAUCAGGACAUGGACGCAUAUAAUUUAGAUAGACUGUUACCAUGUCUGAUCUUCAUCAGUAAGAUUGUUGUAAUAUUUUACAACCUUUGGAUUGACAGGUCCUCUUCCAUCUGAGAGAAACAAACUGAUUAUUGUUUGUGUGAAAGCUACUUGUUUUGUUCACUCUGAGUUAUAAUUUGGUGAUCAUGCAUGCUUGGGAUAAGUCUUGACCAUGAGAUGGUAAAUCUAUAUGCCUUCAAACCAGUAUCCACCAUUCGUUGAACAUCUCCCUGCAAUGGUAUAUAUGAUAUAUAUGAUGCGUGCGUAUCAAAUAGCAUCAGCAUGUUUCUAAUUAAUAUGAUAUGGAUUUCUACAACACAAAAAGAGGCUUAGUCCCGAAUCGUCUCAACAAAUAAAUGAACCGAUUUCCUCUAUUUUCUGAUAAAGAAUUAGAGCAAACAAAGAGGGAAUUAGCAUCAGCAUGUUUAUUCUAAUUUAAUUUAAUAAAUUCCCCUAAAAUCCCCAAGAACCCUAAUUUAUAACCCCCAAACAAAGGCAAAAAGGAGAGAGAAAACCCAAAUAAAGGGAAAUUUGAGGAAUUCAACAUACCGUAAUCAAGGGGAGGACGCUUUCCGAUUGCUGAAUUCGUCAAUGACGGCGGCGGUUGUCCACCGUCGCUGUAUCUCCAGUACGCGUACGCCAUGUUUGAAGCUUGUCGAUGGUCACUACUUGGUUUGUAGGCUCCACGGAGAGAGAUAUGGGGAGCGGAGAGAAAGGAAGACCAGAGGAAGAUGAAAGAAUAUGGAUUUUUCAGUAGAGAAGAGGAGAAAGAGGAAGAGUGAGAGAUGAGAGGAGAGGAGAGCGGAGAGGGGGCUCCCCUUCUGAGAUCAAUGAACGCUGGAAAAAGUGUAGCUUCUCCUUCCCUUUUCACGAUGACCAACACGCGCACCUUCGAUUUUAUUUAUUUAUGCUUUUU
rnacentral:lncRNA from 1 species